CAAAAGCUCAAAUUUGAAAUCUGGUACCUUCGGUGCCCGAGUUGUAAUUUGGAGAGGGCAACUUUGGGGCCGUUCCUUGUCUAUGUUCCUUGGAACAGGACGUCAUAGAGGGUGAGAAUCCCGUGUGGCGAGGAGUGCGGUUCUUUGUAAAGUGCCUUCGAAGAGUCGAGUUGUUUGGGAAUGCAGCUCUAAGUGGGUGGUAAAUUCCAUCUAAAGCUAAAUAUUGGCGAGAGACCGAUAGCGAACAAGUACAGUGAUGGAAAGAUGAAAAGAACUUUGAAAAGAGAGUGAAAAAGUACGUGAAAUUGUUGAAAGGGAAGGGCAUUUGAUCAGACAUGGUGUUUUGUGCCCUCUGCUCCUUGUGGGUAGGGGAAUCUCGCAUUUCACUGGGCCAGCAUCAGUUUUGGUGGCAGGAUAAAUCCAUAGGAAUGUAGCUUGCCUCGGUAAGUAUUAUAGCCUGUGGGAAUACUGCCAGCUGGGACUGAGGACUGCGACGUAAGUCAAGGAUGCUGGCAUAAUGGUUAUAUGCCGC
rnacentral:rRNA from 1 species